rnacentral:rRNA from 1 species
UAGGGAAUCUUCGGCAAUGGACGAAAGUCUGACCGAGCAACGCCGCGUGAGUGAAGAAGGUUUUCGGAUCGUAAAACUCUGUUGUUAGAGAAGAACAAGGACGUUAGUAACUGAACGUCCCCUGACGGUAUCUAACCAGAAAGCCACGGCUAACUACGUGCCAGCAGCGGCGGUAAUCCGUAGGUGGCAAGCGUUGUCCGGAUUUAUUGGGCGUAAAGCUAGCGCAGGCGGUUUCUUAAGUCUGAUGUGAAAGCCCCCGGCUCAACCGGGGAGGGUCAUUUGAAACUGGGAGACUUGAGUUCAGAAGAGGAGAGUGGAAUUCCAUGUGUAGCGGUGAAAUGCUUAGAUAUAUGGAGUAACACCAUUGGCGAAGGCGGCUCUCUGGUCUGUAACUGACGCUGAGGCUCGAAAGCGUGGGGAGCAAACAGG